rnacentral:rRNA from 1 species
GAGGUCUUGCCUGCCCAGUGACAAUGUUAAACGGCCGCGGUAUUUUGACCGUGCGAAGGUAGCGCAAUCACUUGUCUUUUAAAUGAAGACCUGUAUGAAUGGUGAAACGAGGGCUUAACUGUCUCCCUUUUCUAGUCAAUGAAAUUGAUCUGCCCGUGCAGAAGCGGACAUAAAAAUACAAGACGAGAAGACCCUUUGGAGCUUAAGAUAUAAAGAUCAUCUAUGUCAAUGGGCCCCAACACGGCAACAAACUAAAUAGCAACUGAUCUUAAUCUUCGGUUGGGGCGACCACGGGAGAAAAUAAAGCUCCCACGCGGAAUGGGGUAAACCCUAAAACCAAGAAAAACAUUUCUAAGCAACAGAACUUCUGACCAUUAAGAUCCGGCUACACGCCGACCAACGGACCAAGUUACCCUAGGGAUAACAGCGCAAUCCCCUUUCAGAGUCCAUAUCGACAAGGGGGUUUACGACCUCGAUGUUGGAUCAGGACAUCCUAAUGGUGCAGCCGCUAUUAAGGGUUCGUUUGUUCAACGAUUAAAGUC